UACGUAGGGGGGCAAGCGUUGUCCGGAUUUAUUGGGCGUAAAGAGCGUGUAGGCGGCUUGACAAGUCUGCUGUGAAAACUCGAGGCUCAACCUCGAGAUGUCGAUGGAAACCGUCUGGCUAGAGUCCGGAAGAGGAGUGUGGAAUUCCUGGUGUAGCGGUGAAAUGCGCAGAUAUCAGGAAGAACACCUAUGGCGAAGGCAGCACUCUGGGGACGGUACUGACGCUGAGACGCGAAAGCGUGGGGAGCGAACAGG
rnacentral:rRNA from 1 species